AACGAACGCUGGCGGCAUGCCUAACACAUGCAAGUCGACCGAGACCUUCGGGUCUAGUGGCGCACGGGUGCUUAACGCGUGGGAACCUGCCCUUAGGUUCGGAAUAACUCCCCGAAAGGGGUGCUAAUACCGGUUAAUGUCUUCGGACCAAAGAUUUAUCGCCUUUGGAUGGGCCCGCGUUGGAUUAGCUAGUUGGUAGGGUAAUAGCCUACCAAGGCGACGAUCCAUAGCUGGUCUGAGAGGAUGAUCAGCCACACUGGGACUGAGACACGGCCCAGACUCCUACGGGAGGCAGCAGUGGGGAAUAUUGGACAAGGGGCGAAAGUCUGAUCCAGCAAUGCCGCGUGAGUGAUGAAGGCCUUAGGGUUGUAAAGCUCUUUUACCCGGGAUGAUAAUGACAGUACCGGGAGAAUAAGCUCCGGCUAACUCCGUG
rnacentral:rRNA from 1 species